GGAUCGUCAUCAGCGCGUCGUUGUGAGUCCGAUGGUGUGUUCGGAUCGUCGAUCGGACUCCGGCGGCUGGAGGCGAGUCGACCGAGCGACCGAGCGUCUUGAUGAUCUGUCUGUUCGGCUCGCUCCUACCGAGACACCUAAGCUGAGCUAGGAGGUCGCCUAAUUCUGUGAGUUAAAGUCAUAUAUCGUUUACGCACGUGUCAUGCAUAAAAUUUGAUUUGCUACUGAGAAUAUUUAUUUGCAAUUUCAAUUUUUCAUUCAAUUAUUAUUAUUAUCAUUUGCAUGAUGCUUUUAGUUACUAUUUAAAUAUGUUUUUCCUUUAUUACCAAUUUUAAUAUUGCAUGAUGACUCAGGAUGGGACGGCAGUAGAACAUAGGAGUUGGAUGAGUGUCCAAUAUAAUAUGAGAGAGAUAAGAAAAAGGUAAAGAGGUAAAAAUUUUGAGAAAGAAAGAUUAGGACCUGCCCUGGUCGAGCAUCGCUCUCUGGGCUUAGUAGAGUGUGGUUGCCGGAGUAAAGGUCCCUGGUCGAGCAUUGCUCUCGGGGCGCCGGCUUAUUUGGAUAUUUAAGUGACCAGACUGGAGGUAAGGUCCCUGGUCGAGCUUUGCUCUCGGGGCGCCAGUCUUAUUAGAUUAAGAGAGUCGAAUGGCUAUUAGAUUUCUUAUUUGGAUACUUAAGUGACCAGACUGGAGGUAAGGUCCCUGGUCGAGCUUUGCUCUCGGGGCGCCAGUCUUAUUGGAUAAGAGAGCCAAAAGGCUAAGGCUGAGAGUUAAGUGACCGGACUGGAGGUAAGGUCCCUGGUCGAGCUUUGCUCUCUGGGCGCCAGUCCUAUUGGAAUGAGAGGUUUGAGAUGAUAGAGUUGAGGUUAGUUGAGACAUAAGUGUUGAAAUAAUCGAGAUUUUAGAGUUGGGAUUAGAGUUCUACUGAAGUACUCUGUCCCGUUGCAUGUGGAAUAAAUUUUGUUUAAGCAUGGCAUGACACAUAUGUUUUAACAUGACACGUAUGGUUCGCGUGAUUUAUUAAUUAUUUUAAAAUUAAAUGAAUGUGACAUUGAGAUAUUUGAUACUGUUUUAGAUGUAUGAUUUUAACUCACUCUCGAGACUGACAGUCUCCAUUUAUUGUUUUUCAGAUUCGUGACUGUUAGUUCUCUCGCGACUCUUAUUCAGUAACCCGACUCCUUCAUCAUCGGGUGAAGUAUUUGAUUUGGUAUGUAAAAUGGUAAAUCUUAGAUUCUCCGCAGUAGUAAUUAGUAUAUGUAUCAGUUGUAAAUUUUCUGAGCUUCGGGUCUCGCCUAGUAUUUUU
rnacentral:lncRNA from 1 species